rnacentral:lncRNA from 10 species
GUAAAAUAAAGGAGAUGCACUAAGAUGCUUUCUAUGCCUUUCAGUACUAUCCUUCAGUUUGCUCUGAUCAAGAAUUGAAGAGAUCCCCAUAUUCCCGUGGUUUAAUUUUCCCUGAAGACCUUGGACUGACCACUUUCAUGAAGUUUCAUUCUUGUCGCCCAGGCUGGAGUGCAGUGGUGCGUUCUCGGCUCACUGCAACCUCCGCCUCCCCGGCUCAAGCGAUUCUCCUGUCUCAGCCUCCCAAGUAGCUGGAAAUACAGGCAUGUGCCACCAUGCCCAGCUAAUUUUGUAUUUUUAGUAAAGAUGGAGUUUCUUCAUGUUGGCCAGGUGUCCUGGGGAAGUGUCGCUACGUUUACUAUGGGAAAAACUCAGAGGGCAACAGGUUUAUCCGAGAUGACCAGCUCUGAAGCCAACUUCUGUAUACCUUCACCCAUUUCAUGAAAAUAAAAUCAAAAGGGAAAUCAAAAAUAAAGAAAACG